CUGUGCCCACUUCCUAGAGGAAAACGGGCAAAGCCCAGGCUGCUACAAAGCCCAGCGGUGGGGCAAGGACUGCCCUGAGUGCAGCCCUGCCAGCCCCUACCUCUGACGCUCUGGAGUUGGGGGUGGGGGAUCUAACUACCCAAACCUCCCCAGGAAGGCCGCAUCCAGGCGCAGGGAUGACCCAGCACUUACUAUCUACUCACACCCACAUUAAGGUUUCCCUUUGCCCACAAAGAGGGAUGCAGUAACAUGUCAGAUGGUGGUUUGCAUCCCUUUUUUUUGAGAUGGAGUCUCGCGCCCGGAGGUGUCCUCGCGCCGCGCUGCUCCUGCCGCCUCGGGGGUGAGAGAGGGCGCGCCACCCGGACCCCCGGCCUGGGUCCCCCAGCUCCCCAGGCUUGAGUGCCAGGUCCCCCAUCCCAGACAAAUGGUUAUUCACACCUGGCCACAGCAGCCAGACACCAAACGACAGCCCUGGUAACAGGGUCCGCAGGAGGGUGGUUGGCUGGGCAGGACAUCAGGCCCAGCCCUGCCCCUGAGGAGCUCCCGAAAAGCUUUCAGUCUUUCACCAUUGAGUAUGAUGUUAUGGGCUUUUCACAUAUAGCUUUCAUCAUGUUGAGAAAGUUUCCUUCUUUUCCUAGUUUGAGUGUUUUUAUCAUGACAGACUAUUGAAUUUUGUUAAAUGUUUUUCCUGCAUCAUUUGACAUGAUUGUGAUUUUUGUCCUUUAUUCUAUUACUGUGGCGUAUUACAUUGAUUGAUUUUUGUACAUGGAACCAUCCUUGCAUUCCAGGAGUAAAAUCCCACUUGGUUAGGUUUAUAAUUCUUGUAAAAUGCAGCUGAAUUUGGUUUGCUAGUGUUUUUUUGUUUGUUUGUUUGUUUUGAGAAUUUUUGUUUCAGUAUUCAUAAGGGUUAUUGGCCUGUGGUUUUCUUUUCUUGUAGUGUCUUUUCCUGGCUUUGGUAUUAGGGUAAGGCUGACCUCAUAAAAUGAAUUAGGAAGUGUUCCUUCCUCUUUAUUUUUGGGAAAAGUUUGAGGACGAUUGGUGUUAAAAUUACUUGAAUGUUUGGUAGAAUACACCAGUGAAACCAUCUUUGCUGGAGGUUUUUGAUUACUGAUUCAGUUUUGUUGCUAGUUGUAAAUCUAAUCAAUGUUUUCUAUUUCUUCAUGAUUCAGUCUUGGUAGGUUGUGUGUUUCUAGGAAAUUUUUCCAUUUCAUCUGGGUUAUCUAAUUUGUUGGUGUAUAAUUCUUUAUGGUAGUCUGUUACCAUCUUUUUAUUUUAAUGUUAUACAAAGAAAAGGAAAACAAAUUGAGGUUUUUUUUUGUUCUGUUUUAUUGUUUGAUUGUUGUUUGGCUUGGUUAGAUUUUGUUUUGUGGUUCUUGGAUUUGUACCUAAUCUGUUGGAGUCAUCAGUCCACAAACCCAUGAAUUUCCUGAGCCAGUAAAAAUGCUUCCAAUGGGCAGCUGACAGAGGACUGCUACAGACAACUGGAGCUGCCUUAAUGCAUUUGGUGACUGCUGCACCUGCCCGCUGAGGCCCCUCAGCCUGGUGGACAGCUGUCUCCUACAGUGCCUCAGUGGGGCCGUAGGGCAUGGUAGGGCAGGGCUCCCAGGCCCUGUGGCUGUCUGCCUCUGAUCCCAGCCUAGCUGUGAACCCUGUCAGUUCGCUCCUCAGGGAUGCUUUGGUCCCUGUGCCCACCCCAGAGUACAGAGGACGGGGCUCAGCUCCAUGUCUGGGCCUUUUACACCCCGCCUCCGCCUCCACUGCGCCUGCCCUCCCUAAGGCAGGGCAUGGGCCACACGGCACCUUGCGGGGUGGGUGCCCGUCCCGGUAAGCCGUGGAGGCAAUGGGCCAGCCACCGCCACCAAUGUCCGGCCCACUUAGUAGGGCACUACACCUCUCCACACUCCUACAAACUUCAUGCUCAUCAUUGGGG
rnacentral:lncRNA from 1 species